CACGUAGGGCGCAAGCGUUGUCCGGAAUCAUUGGGCGUAAAGCGCGUGUAGGCGGUCCAGUAAGUCCGCUCUGAAAGCCCAGGGCUCAACCCUGGGAGGCGGGUGGAUACUACUGGACUAGAGUACGGAAGAGGAGAUUGGAAUUCCUGGUGUAGCGGUGAAAUGCGCAGAUAUCAGGAGGAACACCAACAGCGAAGGCAGAUCUCUGGGACGUAACUGACGCUGAGACGCGAAAGCGUGGGGAGCAAACAGG
rnacentral:rRNA from 1 species